AGAGGGGAACUAAUCAUUUCUGUUUCUUAUAAUUUGUCCUUGGCUGCAUUAUCAAUUUUUCCUUAUUGGGACUAUAAUCAAAGUUUGCGUAAGUAGACGUGUUUGGUGGGAUUUGGCUAUUGAAAAUGUAACAUUUUAAUUCUGCUCAAAUGAACGAAAUGACUUGAAUAAAGAUUCGUUCAUUUUGCUGAACGAGACUCAAAGAUUCAAGUCAGUAAAAUGAUCUGAUCUUCCCAUCACAACAAACAACCCUUCAUCCAUCUCCUGCUCACUUCCGGAAUCUACGUUACUACCCAUUUCUACUACAUACACACAUCUCGUGGUUAAGGCCCACGACUGAGCAAAAAACAAGACUGAGCUCCGACUUCCGUAAAUGGAACGCACCAAUAGAGCUUGGUAACGUGACGUCAACGCAACGGUGCGCCGCGGUGGCUGAUGGGUAGUGUCGCCAUAUUGUGAUGCCAUCGCGGUACCGGUGUUAAAACGGCAGACGGGGCGGUCGCGCAAGAUGGCGACCGGUGAGGAGGUUGUUUUGAGAAGCUGAGGAUAAAAGUUUGUUCCUUCACUUUAAAUUGUUCUUUUUGUUUAAUAAAUUGGCCAGUCACGGACAUCCAGAUGUAAGGUCUUAUAACUAAUUAUAAAGUUAAUCAGGUGCUGUAACUUUUUCUUCAACUUUGCAACUCGCCGAUGUGUAACCCAAUAAGCUUCCAUGGCGGAAAAACGGAAAGAGAGAGAAAGUAAAACCAAAGAAAAAAGCCUAACAAAGUCGCUAACAAAGAUGAAAAGCAAAGAUGAUGAAGUACACAUUUGCGGCACUGACAUUCAAGCAUUGCACUCAUAUUCGGUGCAUAACACUUCAUUUGCUACAUUACCGGAUUCGACCCCCAGCACUCCUGAUCCGAAGAAAGGUAAACAUGAACCUUCCUUGUCUGAAAUUCAAGAAAACAUCGUGCGAUGCAUAAAUGAGAGAGUCAACGGAUUAGAGGAACUCUUAAGGGCAAAUACGGUGAGCAUUGAAGCUCUGAAGAAAACGACAGAAUUCCUCUUCAAUGAAGUAAAAGACGUCAAAGAAGACAUGAAAAAUGUUAAGGAGGAGAUGAAGAUAAAUCAUGAGGUCAGCGGUGCACAUGGUAAGAAAAUAUCGGAGAUUGAAGCCAGGCUUAACGAGGUAGAACAUUACAAAAGAAGAUGGAAUCUGAGAAUGUAUGGACUAGUGGAACAGGCAGGCGAAGACAUAAAGGCACGAGUGGUAGAUAUUUGUUGUGCAGUUCUUCCAGAACUUACCAGCAAACUUCAACAAGAUGUAGAUAUCGUACACCGGCUUGGAAGAAAACUUGAAGGAAAUGCCGUGAAAGCGAGAACCGUCAUCAUCCAGUUUGUGUCCAGAUCCUCACGUGAUAUGCUUUGGAAAGCUGCGAAAACGAGUUCCUAUCUGAAGACAAAGGAGAUACGAUUUGGAGAGGAUUUAACAACUAUGGACAAAGCCGUACGUAAACAACUGUGGCCAAAAGUGGAGGCUGCUCGGCAGGUAGGAAAGAAGGCUUACUUCGUCGGCGUACGAGCCUUCGUUGAUGGAAAAGAGAUAUAUGCCUAAAUACUGAAUACGAUUGUGUGCAAAUACAGUACCUUGAAUAAGAAAUGCAUGUGGUCACAACUUUAGUGGACUAUGUGUCUUUAACAAGUACAGUCAUUACGUGGAAUGGACUACGUUGAGGACAGAAAUGCUCAUACAGAUAUUAUUGAAAUAUAUCCAAAAUGUUCAUAUGCUGUACAUCAGAGUUCUUAAAGAUCUUAAGUUAAGUAUUAUUAAGGUCAAUAUGGGUUGUAGUUACAUUAUUGAGGUGAUGGGAACAUAUUUUGUUUCACUUUUGGUAAGGUAUUGUUAAUACAGCACAUUGGUAUCUUUGUCAGUUUGUUCUAUAAAUGUCAGGGGAAUCCGUGAUUUGCUGAAAAGGAAAGCAGUAUUUUUAUUUUGCAAGAAAUUUAAAUGUGACUUUUAUUAUAUUCAAGAAACACAUGCUUCUUUGUCAGAUUAUAAUUUUUGGAAGAGUCAAUGGGGGGAUGAUUUAUGGAUGUCAUAUGGGAAUAAUCGAUCAGCUGGUGUUGCAGUUUUAAAAGGUACAUUUAAAGGGAAAAUAAUUCAAACUAAAUUGCAUGACUCAGGUCGAUGGGUGAUAUUGGUAAUAGAAAAGAAUGCUGAAAUUUUUAUUUUGGGAAAUGUCUAUGCAACAAACUUUACCACGCAAAAUAAAGCUUUUUUUUUUACAUUUCGAAGAUCAGAUUCAAAAAAUAAUAGAAAAGUUUAGCAAUGCAAAAUUAGUAAUUGGGGGAGAUUUUAAUACAAUAUGGGAUUCUGAAAAGGAUUGUUUUCCUCCUCGUCCAAAUGUCAGGUCUGUUCUUCCAGAAUUGAAUAAUUUAUGUUCUACUUUUGACUUAAUUGAUAUAUGGAGACAUAAGUAUCCAGAUAAAAUUCAAUUUACAUGGUGUAAAAGGAACCUUACUCAGCAGUCACGUAUAGAUUAUUGGUUAAUUUCAAGGUAUUUAGUGAAUUUUGUUAAAGAGGUCUCUAUAGGGCCGUCUGUUCUUACAGAUCACAAACGCAUUUUUCUCUCACUAGAUACAACAAAAUCCAGUGACGUAAAAACAAUUACGUACUGGAAAAUGAACCAAAACAUAUUGAAAGAUGAGCAGUUCAGAGAGGAUGUUAAAAAUAUUAUUAUAGAUUGUUGGAAUGAGGCACAUUCAACAAAUACUUUCGGUUUAAAUUGGGAAUUAAUGAAAUAUAAAAUAAGAGCUUUAGCCAUAAGGAGAGGAAAAGAAAUGGCAAAACAGAGGAAAAAAAAUGAAGAAAAAAUUAUAUGUGAAAUAAUAAAUCUCUCUGGAAAUUGCAAUUUAGAUCAAGAAGGGAAAAAUAAAUAAUUACAAUUACAAUUAGAUUUAGAUAAAAUAUAUGAAUAUAAAGCAAAGGGUGCCUUUAUUAGAUCAAGGAAGAAAUGGUUAGAGGAAGGAGAAAAAAGUACAAAAUAUUUUUUUAACAUGGAAAAAAGAAAUGUAGAACUCACAUCUAUGGUCAAACUGAGUAUUAAUGGACAGUUAACAGAAAAUAUUAUGGAAAUAUCAAGAUAUGUGGCAAAAUUUUAUGAGAAAUUGUAUUCUUAUGACGACAAAUUGAGUAAUGCACAGUCAUUCUUGGAUUCUAUUAAAGAGGAUGCUAAAAGGAUAAGUGAGUCUUCUAUGAAAAUGUGUGACCAAGAGAUAUCUCUAAAUGAAGUACUUCAUUGUAUUAACAAACUUAAAGACAAUAAGUCACCCGGGAAUGAUGGUUUAAUUAGCGAAUUUUAUAAAUAUUUCCAAAACGAGUUGUCACCUUUUUUGUUAGCUGUAUUUAGAGAGGCUAUACAAUACGGUUAUUUACCAAGUUCACUGAGACAAGGUUUGAUAACUUUAUUACCAAAGCCCAAUAAAAAUUUAUUACUUUUAGAAAAUUGGCGCCCGAUUACAUUGAUUAAUAAUGAUGCAAAAAUUUUCGCAAGUAUAUUUGCUGAAAGACUAAAGGAUUGUAUUGAUCCCAUUAUUGAUGAUUGUCAGUCGGGAUUUAUGAAAGGUCGACACAUUUGUAAUAAUAUAAGGCUCAUUUUGGAUUUAAUUGAUUACAACGAUUUUAUUACAGAUAAUAGUUUUAUUUUGUUUGUUGAUUUUUUUAAAGCAUUUGAUACUAUUGAUCAUAAUUUCAUGUUGGAGACCUUAAAUUUUUUUGGUUUUGGAGAAUUGCUCCCAAUUAGCGGACGAUACUACCCUUUUUUUGCAAAAUGAUAAUUGAAAUAAAAAAAGCUAUUGAUUGUCUUCAUACUUUCUCAUCUGUAUCUGGUUUAUUUUUAAACAUCAAAAAAUGUGUUUUGUUUCCUUUGAGAACUUGUAACGUUGAUAACAUACAUGGUAUACCAGUGAAGGAGGUGGUAGAUUAUUUAGGUAUCAAGAUCUGUAAAGAUCAGAAGGAGAGAAAUAAUUUGAAUUUUACACCAAUUAUUGGGAAAAUUAAACAAAAAUUAAAUUCAUGGUUAAUGAGAGAUCUAUCAUUGAAAGGUAGAAUAUUAUUAUCUAAAACUGAAGGGUUAUCGCGCUUAGUUUAUACAGCUCUUGCAUUAGACGUUCCACAAUCAGUUAUAAAAGAAGUAGAUACUGUUUUGUUUAAUUUCAUCUGGAAGAACAGACCGCACUAUUUAAAAAAGACGAUUCUGUGCAGUCCAAUUGAAGAAGGUGGUCUGAAUGUACUUGAUUUUAAUACUGCUAAUUGCGUAUUUAAGAAUAAAUGGAUAAAUAAUUAUUUAUGCUUUAAAGACAAAAUAUGGAACAUUAUACCUGACCUGAUUUUUGGAAAGUUGGGAGAUUUGGAAUUUUUUUUGAGAUGUAAUUUUGAUGUAAAUAAGGUUCCGAUAAAGCUAUCUUGUUUUCAUAGACAGGCUUUUUUGUUAUGGAUGCUCAUUUAUAAACAUAACUUCUCUCCACACAAAUGUGUAAUAUGGAAUAACAAGAAUAUUGUGUUUAAAAACAAAUCUUUAUUUUUUAGAAACUGGUAUGAUAACGGUAUUGUACUGGUGAGACAGUUAUUUAAGAGUAAUGGACAACUUUUUAAUUAUUGUGAAUUCCUUAAUUACUAUAAGAUUCCGGUGACUGCUAAAGAGUUUGCAAUAGUUUUUGAUGCCAUUCCUGGUGGCCUUAUUCAACUCUUAUCGGGUGAUAUAUCCUCUGAGUGUAUUUCUGUAUAUAAUACUCAGAUAAGUAUUAAUGGUGUGGAGAUUUUAGAUAAAAUUUAACAACUUAUUUAUAAAAACAAUAUGCAGAAAUACAUCGUUACCUAAAAGCAAACCAUAUUGGAAUUCAUUGUAUAAUCAGAUUGAAUGGAAAAAGGUCUGGAAGUUACCUAGUAAAUACUGUCUCACCAAUAAAGUUAAAGAAGUCACGUAUAAAAUUAUUCAUUUAAUUUACCCAGUGAGACAAGUAGUCUCAAGAUUUUUUAGGGACACGAAGACUACAUGUGUUUUUUGUGACUUAGAGGAAGAAUCCAUAAAACACUUAUUCUUUGAAUGUGUGUUUACCCAACUUUUUUGGAUUGAUAUUGAAUAUUUAAUACUUAAACACACAAAAUUAAAGAUUCGACUAACUGGUAAAGAUAUAUUUUUAUUAUUGAAGAAUAAGAGUUUGGAACAAAAUUUAGUGAUAAAUCUGUUAAUUAUAUAUGGUAAAUACCAUAUACACAAACAAAAAUGGGCAAACAAUAAACCUAACAUCAUACCAUUUAAAACUGAACUGAUGCAUUAUAUUGAGACUCUAAAAGAUAUAAGAAAUAAAAAAGGCAAAACGAAUGUAUAGAAUACUUGAAACCUUUUCUCUUGUUAAUUCAUUUUAAGUUAUCCCCUGGUUUUAUUUGGUUAAUUAUUAUUUGUUAUUGUUUAUUCUUUCUUUAUAAUUUUACUUUUUGUUGCUACUAUAAUUGUAUCAGAGUUCAUUGUGAUCAUUGUAUGUAUAUUUUGUUGUAAGUGUUCUUGUUCUGUAAUAAAAAAAAAAAAAAAAAAAAAAAAAAAAAAACGGCAGACAGGAAUCAGGCCCUGCGCUAAUUAAAAGCAUACAGAUACAUUUCGACUACUUUUAAAGUCAUGGGGAGAACUUGUUGUGUUGGUUGUAAUGUCCGUUCACACGACCGACAAUGUAAGAAAUUAGACAACGGAUUGUCUUUCUUUAGCUUUCCCACAUGGAGGAAGAAUCAAGGAAGCAAUGUGUCUGAUGUAACAUAGAGACGACGGUUGUCUUGGAUAUCAGCCGUAAGACGUAAAGACAUCAAGUUUUCCAGCAUCCCAAGAUCGUUAAAAGUGUGUUGCAGACAUUUUUAUUCAGGUAAACCAGUAUAUGAAAUUGGUUCACAUCCUGACUGGGCUCCACCACUGCACCUGGGACACUCUGAAGUGCGUGCUGCAGAGUCAGACUGGUAUUCUCAUCGAUUACAAUGAAAACAAAUGAGCGUGCCAGUAGCAGGAGACAACAGUGAAUCCCAAAUGCUGGGAGAAACUACUGCAGAAGAUGAGGAAGAAAUAAACCAGGUGGGAGCAGCACAAGAAAAGGAAGAUGAUGACCAGACAGAGUCUGCCACGGUGGCAGCAGAUGCUGGAGGUGGUGACCAGGCAGAGGUGGGAACUGUAGAAGAUGAUGAAUGUGGAGAACGGACAGAUGAGGAAGGUGGAAACCAGGAAGAAUGUGAAGUGGCACAUGAACCAACAGCUAGAGACAAAGAACAGAAUGUCAAUUCUGUCAGCACAACAGUGCAGAAAUCAACCGAACUGUGGCCUUCUUAACAAACUGUUACCAGGUGACAGUGUUAGCUGAUCGAGGCUUCGAUAUCAAGGAUAGUGUGGGAAUGUGUGCAGAGGUCAAAGUUCCUGCAUUCACUAAAGGAAGAUGUCAACUGGAUGCUAAGGAUGUGGAAAAUACGAGCGAUAGUACACGUGAGGAUUCAUGUUGAAAGGGUGAUUUGAGAGGGUAGUAUGUGCAACAAGUACACAAUAUUACAUAAGAGAAUACCAAUUAGUUUGUUACUGCCAUGUGAGGGGGAGAUGACACUUCUUGACAAGAUAGUGAAUGUUUGCUGUGUACCUCUUAACAUGUCCCAGUGUGAUUGUAAAACCAGAUGAAAAUGAAAAAUGUGCAUGUUAAUGUGUGCGAUUCAUUUUACUGUUGUAAAUAUUUAUAUUACUGUUAUAGACAUUUAUAUUAGUUUUUUUGAUUACAUGUUUGUAUACUUAAAUACUUCUAUAGAAAAGAGAUGACAAUAUGAUUUUGUACAAACUGGUUUAAUAAAAAUGAAAUUGCAAGUACAAAAACAACAGUUUUUGGGUGGUUGAAAUUGAGCUGAAUUUCUUCAGCAAUAAAAUGUAAACAUGUCUGAGUAAACAUCUUCAGAAAGUGCAACAAAAAAGGUUACAACUUAAAGCAACACAUCAACCACAUACACUAUAUUGCCAAAAGUAUUCGCUCAUCUGCCUUUAGACGCAUAUGAACUUAAGUGACAUCCCAUUCUUAAUCCAUAGAGUUUAAUAUGACGUCGGCCCACCCUUUGCAGCUAUAACAGCUUCAACUCUUCUGGGAAGGCUUUCCACAAGGUUUAGGAGUGUGUUUAUGGGAAUUUUUGACCAUUCUUCCAGAAGCACAUUUGUGAGGUCAGACACUGAUGUUGGACGAGAAGGCCUGGCUCGCAGUCUUCGCUCUAAUUCAUCCCAAAGGUGCUCUAUCGGGUUGAGGUCAGGACUCUGUGCAGGCCAGUCAAGUUCUUCCACACCAAACUCGCUCAUCCAUGUCUUUAUGGACCUUGCUUUGUGCACUGGUGCGCAGUCAUGUUGGAACAGGAAGGGGCCAUCCCCAAACUGUUCCCACAAAGUUGGAAGCAUGGAAUUGUCCAAAAUCUCUUGGUAUGCUGAAGCAUUCAGAGUUCCUUUCACUGGAAAUAAGGGACCAAGCCCAGCUCCUGAAAAACAACCCCACACCAUAAUCCCCCCUCCACCAAACUUCACAGUUGGCACAAUGCAGUCAGACAAGUACCGUUCUCCUGGCAACCGCCAAACCCAGACUUGUCCAUCAGAUUGCCAGAUGGAGAAGCAUGAUUCGUCACUCCAGAGAACGCAUCUCCACUGCUCUAGAGUCCAGUGGCGGCGUGCUUUACACCACUGCAUCCGACGCUUUGCAUUGCACUUGGUGAUGUAUGGCUUGGAUGCAGCUGCUCGGCCAUGGAAACCCAUUCCAUGAAGCUCUCUACGCACUGUUCUUGAGCUAAUCUGAAGGCCACAUGAACUUUGGAGGUCUGUAGCGAUUGACUCUGCAGAAAGUUGGCGACCUCUGCGCACUAUGCGCCUCAGCAUCCGCUGACCCCGCUCUGUCAUUUUACGUGGCCUACCACUUCGUGGCUGAAUUGCUGUCAUUCCCAAUCGCUUCCACUUUGUUAUAAUACCACUGACAGUUGACUGUGGAAUAUUUAGUAGCGAGGAAAUUUCACGACUGGACUUGUUGCACAGGUGGCAUCCUAUCACAGUACCACGUUGGAAUUCACUGAGCUCCUGAGAGCGGCCCAUUCUUUCACAAAUGUUUGUAGAAGCAGUCUGCAUGCCUAGGUGCUUCAUUUUAUACACCUGUGGCCAUGGAAGUGAUUGGAACACCUGAAUUCAAUUAUUUGGAUGGGUGAGCGAAUACUUUUGGCAAUAUAGUGUAUAUGAACAAUAUAACUGCAAAAAAAUUGUUGGAGUGAAGCAAAACUGAAUUUUUCAAGUAUCAAUUAUAAAAAUGAUCUAAGCAAAGUAAACAUCUUAAAGAUGCAACAAAUACAUUUUACAAAUAUGAGCAAGACUGCAAGAAGUGACAGUAGGGCUGUUAAGAAUAAACUCAAUAUAUAUAUACAGUGCAAGAUCCAGACUACAUGGCUGUGCAAGUGAGCUUAUAGUAACUGUGGUGUGUUCUUUGAGUAAUAUUUGGCUACAAGCUCUGGAAGGCAAACUUUCUCAAAGAACUUUUGUGCUUUCUGUAGACGUAGAUCCCAGAAUUCCUGUUCUGGAAAGACCCAUACUACAACAAAGUCCUUCAGAGUCCAAACAGCAAGGUCACAGUGGUUGGAUCCAGUGACAUUCAGUCGCUGAGAGUGCAUAACCUGGACACAGACAAAUGUGAAUAUUGUAUCGUUAAUGUAUUCUCUACGUAACGUUGCCGGGUGUUCAAAGAUGCUAAAAGAAAGAAAGCUGGUUCCUUCGUUCGGACGACAGUGUUUUCACUGUAGACAGGCUUAUAUGUACCCAACCAUUGGUGAACUGAACAUGGGCUUCCAAAGAUUUAUAAUUACGAAAUUGCCCAGCGGUAUAGGCACUGACACCACACACAAGAUAAGUAAAAAUAUCAGGAAAGGUGACGGGAGGUAAGGCGUCAGGGUCGCGGAUCCACUGGUCUUUUGGGACUUCAUAAGGAUCGACAUUUCAGAUAAUGUUGAUUUUCUCAACAUAACGUUUCUUGGCGUCCGGUAGGAGUUUGUCUCUAUAUAAUCCAUCUUGUUUUAAACCAUUUUUAAGCACACUUAAAAAUACUUGAUAGUACAUUGCGUGUCACUUUGUUUCCUGCUAAUUCGCAGUAUGGCGGAUCCUCCCACAACACAAAAUGACGUCGGUUGCUCCAAUGAUGGGAGCGGUUUCUUUCUUUUCUCCAAACUCAUUGGUUGCCCCCAAAAGGAGCUCUAAAAUACACUCCACCCUCUUUACAAUGGGAGUGGUUACUCUCUUUUCUCCAAACUCAUUGAAGGCACAUUAAGAAUGAAUAAUUCCACUACAAGAGUUUUCUCCUGUCUUUCCGGGACCUGGAGGUUUAUGAUCUCUGUUUUCUCAUGUGGAGCCAAUGGGCAUAUGGAAACAGACCGUAAAUCUAUGGAGUUACCUCUCUCUAUAGAAGAGACCCAAGCAGAACCGAUCCAAAGUUCUGUUCAUCUGUCCCACCAGACAAAUGAAUCUGAGCAGAGCUUCAUGCAGACAGAUAACUGCUGCUCAUUCACCCAUGGAGGAAGAGUAUGAUUCCUGAUGAAGAGAAGCACUCUGAAGAGUUGACUGACACUUAAAACCUUUUAAUUCAUCCAAAUUAUAUUUAUCUACAAAGUCCUGUUACAUUAUGUGUUGCAUUUUGGACAAAUAAAAAUGUUAAUGAAUUUA